rnacentral:misc_RNA from 1 species
AAGUCGUAACAAGGUCUCCGUAGGUGAACCUGCGGAGGGAUCAUUACCGAGUGAAGGGCCUCCGGGUCCGACCUCCAACCCUUUGUCGUACGUCUCUUGUUGCCUCGGGGGCGACCCGGCCUCCGCGCCGGGGCCCUCGGUGGACCCAACCUUGAAACUCUGCGUCUUUGCGUCCGAGUCUUGAUUAAAAUCGUAUAAAACUUUCAACAACGGAUCUCUUGGUUCUG